GCCUGGGUGGCUCAGUGGGUUAAGCAUCUGACUUUGGCUCAGGUCAUGAUCUCACGGCUCCUGGGUUCGAGCCCCACUCUGGGCU
rnacentral:tRNA from 1 species